GUCUUUUUGUUAAUAAUUUAAAGUCUAAUCUGCCCACUGAAUUUAAUUUAAAGGGCUGCAGUAUAUUGACUGUACAAAGGUAGCAUAAUCAGUAGUCUUUUAAUUGAAGACUUGUAUGAAUGAUUUGAUGAGAUAUAAACUGUCUCUUUAUUAAAUAUAAAAUUUAAUUUUUUAGUUAAAAAGCUAAAAUAAUUAUAAAAGACGAGAAGACCCUAUAGAGUUUUAUAUUUUUUUAUAUUUGAAUUUUAUAUAAAAUUUUAAAUUUAAAUAUAAUUAAGUAUUUUGUUGGGGUGAUAAAAAAAUUUAAGAAACUUUUUUUAAAAAUAAAACAUUAAUUUAUGAAUAUUUGAUCCAUUGAUUAUGAUUAUAAGAAUAAAUUACCUUAGGGAUAACAGCGUAAUUUUUUUUUUUAGUUCAAAUAAAAAUAAAAGUUUGCGACCUCGAUGUUGGAUUAAGAUAAAAUUUAAAUGCAAAAGUUUAAAAUUUUGAUCUGUUCGAUCAUUAAAAUCUUACA
rnacentral:rRNA from 1 species